rnacentral:rRNA from 1 species
GAUGAACGCUAGCUACAGGCUUAACACAUGCAAGUCGAGGGGAAACGAUAGAGAAAGCUUGCUUUUUCUAGGCGUCGACCGGCGCACGGGUGAGUAACGCGUAUCCAACCUGCCCAUCACUUGGGGAUAACCUUGCGAAAGUAAGACUAAUACCCAAUGACGUCUCUAGAAGACAUCUGAAAGAGAUUAAAGAUUUAUCGGUGAUGGAUGGGGAUGCGUCUGAUUAGCUUGUUGGCGGGGUAACGGCCCACCAAGGCGACGAUCAGUAGGGGUUCUGAGAGGAAGGUCCCCCACAUUGGAACUGAGACACGGUCCAAACUCCUACGGGAGGCAGCAGUGAGGAAUAUUGGUCAAUGGACGAGAGUCUGAACCAGCCAAGUAGCGUGCAGGAUGACGGCCCUAUGGGUUGUAAACUGCUUUAUAAGGGAAUAAAGUGGGAGUCGUGACUCUUUUUGCAUGUACCUUAUGAAUAAGGACCGGCUAAUUCCGUGCCAGCAGCCG